rnacentral:tRNA from 1 species
GGGGCUAUGGGGUAACUUGGCUAGCCUUCCGGCUUUGGGAGCCGGUGAUCUCGGUUCAAAUCCGAGUAGCCCCA